rnacentral:rRNA from 1 species
GACGUAGGAGGCGAGCGUUGUCCGGAUUCAUUGGGCGUAAAGAGCGCGCAGGCGGCUUGGUAAGUCGGAUGUGAAAUCCCGAGGCUCAACCUCGGGUCUGCAUCCGAUACUGCCCGGCUAGAGGUAGGUAGGGGAGAUCGGAAUUCCUGGUGUAGCGGUGAAAUGCGCAGAUAUCAGGAGGAACACCGGUGGCGAAGGCGGAUCUCUGGGCCUUACCUGACGCUGAGGCGCGAAAGCUAGGGGAGCAAACAGG